rnacentral:sRNA from 1 species
CGUGCCUGCUCCGGGGAAAUGAAGUGGAUGUGGGUAUCGAUCGCACCAGCGGUGACGAUCUUGCCCUCACCAGCGAUAACCUCAGUGCUCACGCCGAUAACGAUGUCGAUGUCGUCCUGGACGUCCGGGUUACCGGCGGUACCGAUCUUGAUGAUCUUGCCGUCCUUGAUGGCGAUGUCAGCGACGUAGAUACCGGUGUAGUCGAUGAUCAGCGGGCCGGUGAUGACAACAUCGGGAACCUCUUCGUCGCCUACCCAGCGGCUGUUCUGGCCCAUGCCGUCGCGGAUG